rnacentral:misc_RNA from 1 species
UUUCCGUAGGUGAACCUGCGGAAGGAUCAUUACCGAAUUGUCAAACGGGUUGUUGCUGGUCUUCAAACGGGGACAUCUGCACGCUCUGUUUACACAUCCACUCACACCUGUGCACCCUCCGUAGUUCUAUGGUCUGGGGGACCCUGUCUUCCUGGCGUGGUUCUACGUCUUUACACACACUCUGUAAUAAAGUCUUAUGGAAUGUAUGCCGCGUCUAACGCAAUACAAUACAACUUUCAGCAACGGAUCUCUUGGCUCUC